GCGAUCAUACCGGCACUAAUGCACCGGAUCCCAUCAGAACUCCGAAGUUAAGCGUGCUUGGGCGAGAGCAGUACUGGGAUGGUUGACCCCCUGGGAAGUCCUCGUGUUGCACCU
rnacentral:rRNA from 1 species